rnacentral:rRNA from 1 species
AGAGUUUGAUCAUGGCUCAGAUUGAACGCUGGCGGCAUUUACACAUGCAAGUCGAACGGUAACGCGGGGCAACCCUGGCGACGAGUGGCGAACGGGUGAGUAAUACAUCGGAACAUGUCCUGGAGUGGGGGAUAGCUCGGCGAAAGCCGGAUUAAUACCGCAUACGCUCUGAGGAGGAAAGCGGGGGACUUUCGGGGCCUCGCGCUGCAGGAGUGGCCGAUGUCGGAUUAGCUAGUUGGUGGGGUAAAGGCCCACCAAGGCGACGAUCCGUAGCUGGUCUGAGAGGAUGAUCAGCCACACUGGGACUGAGACACGGCCCAGACUCCUACGGGAGGCAGCAGUGGGGAAUUUUGGACAAUGGGGGCAACCCUGAUCCAGCCAUGCCGCGUGAGUGAAGAAGGCCUUCGGGUUGUAAAGCUCUUUCGGACGGAACGAAAUGGUUACGGUGAAUAUCCGUGACUGAUGACGGUACCGUAAUAAGAAGCACCGGCUACUACGUGCCAGCAGCCGCGGUAAUACGUAGGGUGCGAGCGUUAAUCGGAAUUACUGGGCGUAANNCGUGCGCAGGCGGUUCGCCAAGUCAGGUGUGAAAUCCCCGGGCUUAACCUGGGAAUUGCGCUUGAAACUAGCGGGCUUGAGUGUGGCAGAGGGGGGUGGAAUUCCACGUGUAGCAGUGAAAUGCGUAGAGAUGUGGAGGAACACCGAUGGCGAAGGCANNCCCCUGGGUCAACACUGACGCUCAUGCACGAAAGCGUGGGGAGCAAACAGGAUUAGAUACCCUAGUAGUCC